AGGGCACCACCAGGAGUGGAGCCUGCGGCUUAAUUUGACUCAACACGGGAAACCUCACCAGGCCCGGACACCGGAAGGAUUGACAGAUUGAGAGCUCUUUCUUGAUUCGGUGGGUGGUGGUGCAUGGCCGUUCUUAGUUGGUGGAGCGAUUUGUCUGGUUAAUUCCGAUAACGAACGAGACUCCGGCCUACUAACUAGAUGGAGGAUCCCUUCGUGGGUUCUUCACUGCUUCUUAGAGGGACGGGCGGCGUUUAGCCGCACGAGAUUGAGCAAUAACAGGUCUGUGAUGCCCUUAGAUGUUCUGGGCUGCACGCGCGCUACACUGAAGGAAUCAGCGUGUCCUCCCCGCUCUGAAAAGAGUGGGUAACCCGUUGAAACUCCUUCGUGAUGGGGAUUGGAGAUUGUAAUUACUCUCCAUGAACGAGGAAUUCCCAGUAGGCGCGAGUCAUCAGCUUGCGUCGAUUACGUCCCUGCCCUUUGUACACACCGCCCGUCGCUACUACCGAUCGAGUGAUUUAG
rnacentral:rRNA from 1 species